UUAUACCGUGGUCAGGCAACACACUGUACGCUAGUUUUGAAGUGCAACUAAACUAAGCGAAAUGAAUGACAGAAACAACGAAAGGGAGAAAUAUCUAAUCCAUCUAAUCUUACAGUUAGCGUCAUAUUAAUCAUGCUUUGAGUGUCUUAUAUAUACAGUACUGAUGGUCGCUCGAUAAAAUGUCACUUUAUAUAGACGAAUGGUCAGUGAUGACAUUUGCCGCGCCGUUGUAGUAAGAGCGAGAUCAAACUGUCCAAUUCAUCAUAUCAGAGUGAUUUCACGGGUUUCAGUUUCAGGAUGAUGGACAACAAAUACAUCUUUCAAAUGUCUGGCAUCAAGAAUCAUUCCCAGAAAAGACAGUUACUCCAUGGCAUCAGAAAGCUGAUAUCUGAAGAUCUGAUAAGCAGAUAUAUUACUUACUGUAACAACCUUAUAAAUGAAGAGUUCUGCUGUUGUACAGUGGCCCCAAAAUAUUUGGAGAGUUUAAUCAGACAUAAUGUGUUUGACUGUGUUUGCAUUAGAUACGAAAUAUCAAACAGAAUUUAUUAAAUAAUACUGAUAAUAACAAUAAUACACAUGAGAACAUACAUUAAGCGAAAUAUUUAACAAGCGCGUUGUUUUAAAUAUUUAAAUAACAGUUAAUAUACCUACAUUAUCUACCAAUAUACCUACAAGUAAUUAGAAAAAGCGUUCAAGUUAAUUGUAAGAAAAGGUCUAACAUUAUCUGCAGAAUUUACUUAUUUUGAUAUAUUAUAAAAUGUAAUUCAAUAUUUUUAACCUCUCAAAAGUGCACUGCUAUAUAAUUCAGUUAAUUUCACACAAGCCUCUCUUCCACGACAUCUAGCAUUUCUUACUGUGCAUGUAGAAAAUGAUAAAGUGUUGGUGAUUAGCCCUGAAAAAUGACUCUUCCCGAAUUGCUUCCCGAUGCUACAAUGUAUUUCGGACCAUGUAAUUUUGUCCUUGCCCUCAAUACCAUCUUAAUAUAGGCACAGAUUGCUCUCUCUACUAAUUGAAACCCUCAUGAGAAUAAAUUCAACCUCCCAAGUUCUUGACCUUUUCCUAAAUUAUCUCAUGGUAAGGCUGAAGACCAGAUUAGAAAGGAUUAUAAGGAGGCAACAACUCACCUCAUCGCCAAAAAAGCUUUAGCAAGUGAAAAGUUUAUCGCAGCCUGUGCUUGAGGGAAGUGGAUAGUCACUCCAGAGUUUGUUCUG